CAAAGUAAAAUCCACCAAGUGGGUCAUUUCUUUGGGCCUCUCCCUCUUCCAGAGCAUCUUCAUACUGCAGCCUCUCAAGGUGAUAGGACUUGCCGUGUUUUUUGCCCUGAUGCUGAAACCUGUGGCUGUGGAGGAGACUGAGGAAAUUGAGCAGGUGAUGACAGAACAACAAGGAAAGCGUAGACGGUACUCUGGCAGGCAAACACUUUGAGGAGGCUGCCUUUUCGUGGGAUAUUUUGUCUUCUCCAAUGGGCACAGCUGCAAACUGAUUCACCGCUCUUUUGCACUUAUAGAACGUUUCUACUGAUUAUACCUUUUGUUUUACUGUCUUGUAUGUGAUAAGAAUUAUGUUUUCAGGGUGAUUCAGAGUAAAUGGGUAACAAAAUAAUUGUAGCUGUUGCAUGUCAUUCUGCUUUCCAAGUAAAGUAAAAUCCAUGAUGAUAAGUAUGCAAAGAAAAUCUCAUUUUAGGAGGGAGUUAUUUUCAUUAUCCUAAGAAAUCAACCUGUGUCUGACCUCAUAUCCAUGAAAAUAUUCUAUGUUCAUAGGUCGUUAGAGAAUAUAUCACCAAUACCGUCUCAGACACAUACUGCAUCUACAUACAACUAUUCUUUUAAUAUCUAUACGGUCUCCCAAUGGGUCCCUCACUACCGGGUUAACCGUUGAAACAGUGGCGAGUAUAGAGCUCAUAAGAUCUAUUGUAACCUUCCCUCUAGGACUCACCAUUGCACUUUACUUGUAUAUGUAUAUGCAUGUGCAGAUUCAGAAUCUUACAUAAUAUUGUUAAUAGUUUAAACGAUUUUGAGUAAAACUUCUUCAAUCUAUCAAUAAAGCAACUAUUGAGUAUAAUACUGCAUAGAAAAUGUCAAUGAUCUGCAAAGAAAAAGCACUUCUUCUUUCUGUUGAUUUUAUCUAAGUUAAUGUGGGUUUUAACAGCACUUUCAUUAUUAUUCCUCAAAAAGUCUGUUGCUAUAUUGAAAUUCAAAGACUCUUAACAGCCCAACUUACUGCUGUCAACGUGGCCGGUGAUCACAGAGUACGACAUCCAACCAUUGAGGGCACAGAACCCUUUGGGUAGCGUGAGAGAGGAUGCUUUUAGCGUAACACGUUUCCUCAGCUCAGCUCCACGUAACUUCAACACACGCUGAAGGUGCAUGUCACAACUUUUCAUCAUACAUGCAGACUUCAGUGAGAUCCAGUCCGUCCUCCCGUUGAAUAAUUUAAG